GAUGAACGCUGGCGGCGUGCCUAAUACAUGCAAGUCGAGCGAACAGACGAGGAGCUUGCUCCUCUGACGUUAGCGGCGGACGGGUGAGUAACACGUGGAUAACCUACCUAUAAGACUGGGAUAACUUCGGGAAACCGGAGCUAAUACCGGAUAAUAUAUUGAACCGCAUGGUUCAAUAGUGAAAGACGGUUUUGCUGUCACUUAUAGAUGGAUCCGCGCCGCAUUAGAUAGUUGGUAAGGUAACGGCUUACCAAGGCGACGAUGCGUAGCCGACCUGAGAGGGUGAUCGGCCACACUGGAACUGAGACACGGUCCAGACGCCUACGGGAGGCAGCAGUAGGGAAUCUUCCGCAAUGGGCGAAAGCCUGACGGAGCAACGCCGCGUGAGUGAUGAAGGUCUUCGGAUCGUAAAACUCUGUUAUUAGGGAAGAACAAAUGUGUAAGUAACUAUGCACGUCUUGACGGUACCUAAUCAGAAAGCCACGGCUAACUACGUG
rnacentral:rRNA from 1 species